CCUGCCGCCAUUUUGCUUGUGGGCUGCCGCCCGCUGUUGCCUCUUGGCACAGAGGCUUGAAGACAGGCAACUGGAGGCAGAGAGGUGGGCAGAGUCUCCGUCUUUUUUCAGAACAGAUGCAUUCAACAAUUUACAGAAGUCUGGCCUCCAGCGCUGGGUGAACUCGUUUUGGGUGUCACUCGACGCCCACUAGGGGCUGAGGAGGCUCCAGUGCGCAGACUCCGGGCACCGGAUAAAAGCGGAGCUGGAGCGUCCAGCGCCGUCUCGAUGGAGGAGCGAGAAACGGAAGAGGUCGGGGGGAGAAGCAGCAGGAAAAAUACAGCCACCGUCAGCGCCGCUUCCCUGCCACCGUGUAUCGGGGUAAAAAGCUGCCGUUGCCGUCGGUGCAGUUGCCGUCGCUGCCUCCUACUUCUCUUGGCCCCGGGGAAGGAUUUCCCCGCCGGCGGGACAAUGUGCGGGGUGGGGAGCAGGAGUUAACCUUUAUGUGGCGGUGAUUAAACGAGGGAGGGACAGAGAGACGGUUAUCUCGAAGAAAAAAGGGGGAUGCCAAAGAAUAAAACAAGGGUUUCCCCACUAAAAUAA